UACAGAGGGUGCAAGCGUUAAUCGGAAUUACUGGGCGUAAAGGGCGCGUAGGUUGUUAUUGAAGUCAGAUGUGAAAUGUCCGGGCUUAACUUGGACAUGUCAUCUGAGACUCGAUGACUAGAGUACAGUAGAGGGAAGAGGAAUUUCCGGUGUAGCGGUGAAAUGCGUAGAUAUCGGAAGGAACAUCAGUGGCGAAGGCGUCUUCCUGGACUGAUACUGACACUGAGGCGCGAAAGCGUGGGUAGCGAACAGG
rnacentral:rRNA from 1 species